rnacentral:rRNA from 1 species
GACGAACGCUGGCGGCGUGCUUAACACAUGCAAGUCGAACGGAAAGGCCCUGCUUUUGUGGGGUGCUCGAGUGGCGAACGGGUGAGUAACACGUGAGUAACCUGCCCUUGACUUUGGGAUAACUUCAGGAAACUGGGGCUAAUCCCGGAUAGGAGCUCCUGCUGCAUGGUGGGGGUUGGAACGUUUCGGCGGUUGGGGAUGGACUCGCGGCUUAUCAGCUUGUUGGUGGGGUAGUGGCUUACCAAGGCUUUGACGGGUAGCCGGCCUGAGAGGGUGACCGGCCACAUUGGGACUGAGAUACGGCCCAGACUCCUACGGGAGGCAGCAGUGGGGAAUAUUGCACAAUGGGCGGAAGCCUGAUGCAGCAACGCCGCGUGCGGGAUGACGGCCUUCGGGUUGUAAACCGCUUUAGCCUGUGACGAAGCGUGAGUGACGGUAAUGGGUAAAGAAGCACCGGCUAACUACGUG